rnacentral:rRNA from 1 species
AGUAACACGUGAGCAACCUGCCUUUCAGUGGGGGACAACAUUUGGAAACGAAUGCUAAUACCGCAUAAGACCACAGUGUCGCAUGGCACAGGGGUCAAAGGAUUUAUCCGCUGAAAGAUGGGCUCGCGUCCGAUUAGCUAGAUGGUGAGGUAACGGCCCACCAUGGCGACGAUCGGUAGCCGGACUGAGAGGUUGACCGGCCACAUUGGGACUGAGACACGGCCCAGACUCCUACGGGAGGCAGCAUG